AACGAACGCUGGCGGCAGGCUUAACACAUGCAAGUCGAACGCCCCGCAAGGGGAGUGGCAGACGGGUGAGUAACGCGUGGGAACAUACCCUUUCCUGCGGAAUAGCUCCGGGAAACUGGAAUUAAUACCGCAUACGCCCUACGGGGGAAAGAUUUAUCGGGGAAGGAUUGGCCCGCGUUGGAUUAGCUAGUUGGUGGGGUAAAGGCCUACCAAGGCGACGAUCCAUAGCUGGUCUGAGAGGAUGAUCAGCCACAUUGGGACUGAGACACGGCCCAAACUCCUACGGGAGGCAGCAGUGGGGAAUAUUGGACAAUGGGCGCAAGCCUGAUCCAGCCAUGCCGCGUGAGUGAUGAAGGCCUUAGGGUUGUAAAGCUCUUUCACCGAUGAAGAUAAUGACGGUAGUCGGAGAAGAAGCCCCGGCUAACUUCGUGCCAGCCGCCGCAGUAAUAC
rnacentral:rRNA from 1 species